rnacentral:rRNA from 1 species
GACGGAAGGUGCAAGCGUUGCUCGGAAUCACUGGGCGUAAAGGGUGCGUAGGCGGCCGCGCAAGUCUGGCGUGAAAGCCCCGGGCUCAGCCCGGGAAGGGCGCUCGAAACGGCGCGGCUCGAGUGCCGGAGGGGAGAGUGGAAUUCCUGGUGUAGCGGUGAAAUGCGUAGAUAUCUGGAGGAACACCGGUGGCGAAGGCGGCAUCCUGGACCAAUUCUGACGCUGAGGAGCGAAAGCCAGGGGAGCAAACGGG